GACGAACGCUGGCGGCGUGCUUAACACAUGCAAGUCGAACGGUGAAGGGGUCUGCUUUUGUGGGCCCUGGAUGAGUGGCGAACGGGUGAGUAACACGUGAGUAACCUGCCCCCUUCUUCUGGAUAACCGCAUGAAAGUGUGGCUAAUACGGGAUAUUCUGGGUCUGUCGCAUGAUGGGUCUGGGAAAGAUUGCGCCUUUGGGUGUUUUUGGUGGGGGGUGGGCUCGCGGCCUAUCAGCUUGUUGGUGGGGUGAUGGCCUACCAAGGCGGUGACGGGUAGCCGGCCUGAGAGGGUGGACGGUCACACUGGGACUGAGACACGGCCCAGACUCCUACGGAAGGCAGCAGUGGGGAAUAUUGCACAAUGGGCGCAAGCCUGAUGCAGCGACGCCGCGUGAGGGAUGGAGGCCUUCGGGUUGUAAACCUCUUUCGCCAGUGAAGCAGGCCUGCUCCUUGUGGGUGGGUUGACGGUAGCUGGAGAAGAAGCGCCGGCUAACUACGUG
rnacentral:rRNA from 1 species